AUAUAAGCAAAUUUUACUUUUUAGAUUCAUUCAAUUAAUGAUGUACGUAGUCCAUAUUAUGAACCACAUACAUCAUUAAUUGAAUGAACCUAAAAAGUAAAAUUUGUUUAUAU
rfam:Medicago truncatula strain A17 chromosome 7, whole genome shotgun sequence.